CCUACGGGCGGCAGCAGUGAGGAAUAUUGGUCAAUGGGCGGGAGCCUGAACCAGCCAAGUCGCGUGAGGGACGACGGUCCUAUGGAUUGUAAACCUCUUUUGUCGGGGAACAAACGCCCCCACGGGUGGGCGGAUGAGUGUAUCCGAAGAAAAAGCAUCGGCUAACUCCGUGCCAGCAGCCGCGGUAAUACGGAGGAUGCGAGCGUUAUCCGGAUUUAUUGGGUUUAAAGGGUGCGUAGGCGGACCGUUAAGUUAGCGGUGAAAAUGCGGUGCUCAACACCGGAAAGGCCUUUGAAACUGGCAGUCUUGAGAGGACGUGCGGUAUGCGGAAUGUGUGGUGUAGCGGUGAAAUGCAUAGAGAUCAUGCAGAACACCGAUUGCGAAGGCAGCAUACCGGCGCCCGACUGACGCUGAGGCACGAAAGCGUGGGUAGCGAACAGGAUUAGAUACCCGGGUAGUC
rnacentral:rRNA from 1 species